CGGACGGGUGAGUAACACGUGGAUAACCUACCUAUAAGACUGGGAUAACUUCGGGAAACCGGAGCUAAUACCGGAUAAUAUAUUGAACCGCAUGGUUCAAUAGUGAAAGACGGUUUUGCUGUCACUUAUAGAUGGAUCCGCGCUGCAUUAGCUAGUUGGUAAGGUAACGGCUUACCAAGGCAACGAUGCGUAGCCACCUGAGAGGGUGAUCGGCCACACUGGAACUGAGACACGGUCCAGACUCCUACGGGAGGCAGCAGUC
rnacentral:rRNA from 1 species